CACUCAGUUGCUAAUUAUUACCGUCUAUUAAUAAUUUAAAUAAAUUUAAAAGCUGAUUAUUACUGAGUAUUUACUGGGUGCCAGGCAUUGUGCUAACUGCUCUGCCCGCAUGAACUUAUUUAACCAUCAUUUUACCUCAGAGGAAGGUACUGUUACUAUUAAUCUUCUUUGAUAGAUGAAGAAACAGCUUCAGAGUGGCUAAGGAACUUGCUCAAGUUCACACAGUUAUAAGAGGCAGAGCAAGUCCUUGAAUCUACACUUAUCUGACUCCACGAUCCACGCUUAACGAUUGCUUGGUAUCUUCUUUCAGAUUAGAAGCCAUGGUGAAUGAGUUGAUAUAAUCAUUGAUCGACUUCCACGUUCAUAAUUACUCAUAGCUCUGGCCUUCCUAAUAGCUCAGUAGAAAAUUGGCUUGCUGUACCUAUGGCCUUUUGGGUUCAGAAGGAGACUUAACCUGAGCAGAAUAUUAUGUCUGAGUAAGGAACCGAGCAGCCCCUGGGCCGCCACAGCCAUAUAUCCAUGGGAAAUCAGACUGGCUGAAGACUCUGGUGAGAGAUGCUGCGGUACCCACUGGGGUGUGUCUGAUGAAAGCCUUCUCUUGGCAGUUGUGUUCAUGCACGGAAAAGCAGACUCCUUGAUACUGUGCUGUUGAGCGUGGACAUCAAAAAAAGAAAAACCAAACACCAAAACCUAUAUCCUUAAGACACUCUACUUCUUCAUGCUUGAUUUACUCCACUUAAGUUCAGUCCAUGCUGGCAUUUCUAUAUUAAAUUGUUUUUCCCGCUGUCUUAUAUUUUAAAGCCCUUUGAGAAGUCUGACAUUAAAUUGGCCACACAAUGGAAAAAUUGGGAGAAGCAGACUCCCUCCCACCGUCUUUUGUUAGCAUGAUUGUUUUUGAUUAAAUCAAGUCCCAAAUGAAAACCAUAGGGGCCUUCCAU
rnacentral:lncRNA from 1 species